AGAGUUUGAUCAUGGCUCAGACGAACGCUGCGGCGUGCUUACACAUGCAAGUCGAGCGAUGAACACCUAGGGUGUGAAUUAGCGGCGAACGGGUGAGGAACACGUGAAGAAUCUGCCUUCAACUCUGGAUAACUCCGGGAAACCGGGGCUAAUACCGGAUAUGAGCCUUGAUCGCAUGAUCGGGGCUGGAAAGUUUUUCGGUUGAAGAUGACUUCGCGGCCUAUCAGCUUGUUGGUAGGUAAUGGCUCACCAAGGCGACGACGGGUAGCCGGCCUGAGAGGGCGACCGGCCACACUGGGACUGAGACACGGCCCAGACUCCUACGGGAGGCAGCAGUGGGGAAUAUUGGGCAAUGGAGGAAACUCUGACCCAGCGACGCCGCGUGAGGGAUGAAGGCCUUCGGGUUGUAAACCUCUUUCAGUAGGGAAGAAGCGAAAGUGACGGUACCUACAGAAGAAGCACCGGCUAACUAUGUGCCAGCAGCCGCGGUAAUACAUAGGGUGCAAGCGUUGUCCGGAAUUAUUGGGCGUAAAGAGCUCGUAGGUGGUUCGAUACGUCGGAUGUGAAAAUCAGGGGCUCAACCCCUGACCUGCAUCCGAUACGGUCGAGCUGGAGUUUGGUAGGGGAGACUGGAAUUCCUG
rnacentral:rRNA from 1 species